rnacentral:rRNA from 1 species
UACGUAGGGGGCGAGCGUUGUCCGGAGUUACUGGGCGUAAAGCGCACGCAGGCGGUCUGCUAAGUUUGGAGUGACAGUUGGUGGCUUAACUGCCAAAGUGCUUCGAAAACUGACAGACUUGAGGGCUUCAGAGGGACACGGAAUUCCGGGUGGAGUGGUGAAAUGCGUAGAGAUGUGGAGGAACACCAGUGGCGAAGGCGACUCUUUGGCCUGUAACUGACACUGAGGCGCGAAAGCGUGGGGAGCGAACAGG